rfam:Schistosoma mansoni strain Puerto Rico chromosome W, complete genome
AGCCUUCUGAAUCCGUGCCAAGAUUUCGUCAGACACUAGAUCAUCAGUAUUGAUGAGACUCUCAGGAUAAGUGUAACG